rnacentral:rRNA from 1 species
AUGCCUGAACGCCUCUAAGGCCGAAGCCAGCCUAGCCGAAUCCGGCAAGGAUAUGCUCACUGUGGAGCCCCGAGAGUCGGGAGGCUCUAAACAAUGUGACUUUACUAGUCGCGCUUCACCACGUGAGGUGCGACGUCGAAGCCCAUUUGGAUCGCGGAGAUCGAUGCUGUCCGUUUAACGCGUGCAUCACGGCUCCGAAGGUCCGAAUUUACCUCAGUUCGAUGUCGGGGCUCGGAAUAGUCUGUAGACGACUUCCGUUCCUGGCGGGGUGUUGU